rnacentral:rRNA from 1 species
UACGUAGGUGGCGAGCGUUGUCCGGAUUUACUGGGCGUAAAGGGGGCGUAGGCGGACUUUUGAGUGAGAUGUGAAAUACCCGGGCUCAACUUGGGUGCUGCAUUUCAAACUGGAAGUCUAGAGUGCAGGAGAGGAGAAUGGAAUUCCUAGUGUAGCGGUGAAAUGCGUAGAGAUUAGGAAGAACACCAGUGGCGAAGGCGAUUCUCUGGACUGUAACUGACGCUGAGGCUCGAAAGCGUGGGGAGCAAACAGGAUUAGAUACCCU